CGUCUCCCACGCACCCAAUCUUUUCCGCUCCCAAUUUCUUCAACCCACCAUAUCCAAUCUGCGGCGGCUCCAAGCCUCACCCCGAGCGGUGCGCUCUGCCGGCUACGUCUGGUCUCCUCCGUCGACGACCUCACCAGUCAGUGCCCGGCCGGCUUCCCUUGUCCUCCUCGUCCCCAGGCCGCACCUCUCUUGGCGUCGUCCUCAACGUCCGCAAGCCGGGUCCAGGCCGGCGUCAUCCUCCUGCCAAAAUUCUGCCACAUCAAGCCGGUGCACCCUCGAAUCCCAUCUGCUGUACAAUUUACCAUUAUACAGUAAUCAAGCAGAUUAGUUGUCAACAAAUCUCACCAUUAGGACCAACCAGCAUUAAUCAGGGAACUCAUGUAUCAGAUUCAGAUCUGAUGGAGCAAUCACAUUGGUGAUCAAAGAGCCUGCACGUUACAUUAUUUGGGACGAUUUUGCCUUCCUGCACCAAAAUUAGCCGCGAGACAGAAGGAGAGGAACAACAGGGCCGCCACCUCGCCAUCCUUCCUCCCAGGCGCUGCUCUUCUCCCGCCGUCGCCUUGCCGUGCUCUGCCCACCCGUCCAUUCAUGUGGAGGGGGAGGCGUGAAUGUCUCGUGGUGACCUCGAUGCACCCUCGCCAAGCGGCGGAAGGCAAGCACCGCUUCUUGCUCUCGCCGCGCUGUUCUUUCGAAGUGUGCCUUGACAUCUUCUUAAUGCCGCCGCGUGACCCUCUCUUAUGCCCUGAUGUCGACGCUGCCGUGCACCAUAUUGGGUGUCCCUCUUGUGGUUCGCUCGCUUGCAUUGGUCGCUCGGCCUGCUAGAGCGUGCGUUGUUCGCUCACGUCGCUAAAGCUACUGGCUAGCUGUAGCUUUUGUACUUGCUCGAUGCUAUCUUUGUAACGGACGUAGUUGCUGCCUGAAGAAAGUAAUUGGCUCUAAAUAUUGCUACGAGUUGCUAGCUUAGUUGCAGCUUCUGACAACAACAGGAUAUGGAUGCUUGUUGAUUCAGAUAUUUAGGUAGCACACUUUGGCAGCAUGUAGGGAUGUAAUCAACAUACACAUGAUAUGGCACACUUCACAACAUGGGGUAGGGAUGUGGAGUUGCGAGGAUAGGAGGACUUGAGAGCAGGAAUCAAACUGCACGGUCUGAAAAAGUGGCCACUGUUUGUUGGAGACAAAGGGGAAAAGCUGCGGCGAGGCGAUGGCACGAGAACGGGCUAAGCAUGGCGAGAUGGCAAUGGGGAACGCACAGCUUGUCAAUAGGAAGGACGGCAGAGCUGUUCUUCCUAUCCUCCUGUCUCGUGCCUGUUUCUUGUAUCGACUGAUAGGUUUAAUUGAACUAGAGGAAACAAGCUAAAGGGCAAAACCGUCCCAAAUAAUCUGAUGUGCGGGCCCAUAUGUAGAAAUAGAGGAAAAAGUUUCGCUUGUGCCAUUUUGUCUAGCUAUCAAUGAAGCAUGUGCAAUUUUAUCAAAAAAAAAAGAAAGGUGGGUCAUAUGAUAAAUGUACGAGGAAAAGUGUUGUCAUUUUAUCAAAUACCUCAUCUUUGAUUAACUAUGUAUAGCUUUAGCUUUCGCAAACCAGCGUCUGUUGGCUUGCCCUACUACUUACGAAGCAAAAUGACAUGUCUAUGUGGUCUGCACUUUAUUAGUUAUACAUGGCUUCACAUGACUGUGUGCAGCAGACAGGGCGUACUUCUUGUUUCACCACUAAUUAACUGUACAUAUUGUUUUCAUGCUUUUCUUUACUUUAGCUACGUAGAUGCUUAGUAUGUUUCAUAAUUUUACCAUUUGUGGAAGUCUUUCUGCAUCUUAAUUAGGCAUGAGUAAGAUCGGAACAAGCCAAAUUAUGUACAUUUUGAAAUAUAUCCAAACUAGAUAUAGUUUGAGUCAAUUCAAUCACAUACGCUUGCAUGGUUAUGCCAAUUGUUGUUUGCCUGCCAAUCUGUUACAACUUUGAAACAUUUUAGGUCAAAAAGCCAAAGCUGACCACUCCAACACAACCUAAGACAUUUGUGCUCCAAGACAACGUCAAGACAUUUGCAGGGAACAUCUCUCACAGUUUCAUCAUAGAACAUUUCAUCUUGCACCAAUCCAAAAGCUUAUGUUCUAAACUUCUCUCUGUUAAUUUUUUUCUUCCAGGGUAGCUGAGAAUUUAGAAUUGGAAUGCAUUGCAGGAGCAAGGAGCAACCACACAAGAAUUAGUCUUUAAAUGAACACAUAUUAUGUAUAAUCUAUGGAAAGCUUAGUUCUAGUUUGUAGUAUCUUUUAAUUAUUUACAUAUUUCACAUGAAUGUUUGAUCUGAUUCAGUUGUGAACUCCAUGUUUCCAUACACUUUUAGUGGAUGUAUUUGUUCCUAUAUUUGGUACAAAGGAUGCUAAUUCUAAGAAUGGAUUGCUUGCGAAUGCAAUUGCUGAUGUG